UCUGGAAGGCGAGAGAAGACAAUGGGCUUUCUAGGUGUAAGGGUGUAAAGUCCUGGCCGUGAGGGGCCAAAGUGAGAAAUCUUGGCAAGUAGGGAAUACUGAGAGCUGCAUCCUGGACUCAGGAAACAUUUUAAGGAGAACCCAGGAGGCAUACACCUGCGGGGGGGCGGGGAGAGAGAGAGAGAGAGAGAGAGAGAGAGAGAGAGAGAGAGAGAGAGAGAGAGAGAGAGAGAGAUUUAUCACAGACUCACCUGGAAUGCGGUUGCUUCCACACACAUGCAACAGGAACAGGACGCCUAGUCCCCUGAGGAGCUCCAUGGUGGAGCCUUUGUGCCCAACGCGGAGCCUGUAGCAAGAAGCACAGGAGGACUGAGUUAGAGACCAGGAAGCAAGGUAGUAGGGCAGAGGUGUGAGCGUGUGUGUGUGUGUGUGUGUGUGUGUGUGUGUGUGUGUGUGUGUGUGUGUGCGCGCGCUCUUUGGCCCCAUUUACUUUCCAGAUGGUAUCCAGUAUAAAAAGAGUGCCAGAGGCAGGGGACUGUUGGUGUUCCAGGACGAAGGGCGUAAAGUGACUUGGGCUUUUUCUUGUUCUCUUAGACAAGAAUACAGAAUGUACCUGGGGAGAAGGAUGGCAAAAGUCAGGAGCAACCUGGGGACUACUUGGUGCUCAGCAGAGGCGGGAGAAGGCUUACCUGUGUGCACCGGAGCUCAGCAGCCCGGAGUGGUGGAGAAGGCGAAGUGAAGGACAAGGACUUCGAGUCCGGUAAAGACGCUGAGAUUGCUGGUGCGGCCGGAUAGACCGUGGCAGGACUGGGUAGUUGCGUCGCGAGUGCCUGCAGAAGUCCGAUGAGGCUGGCUGACUCCAGGCAGUGGCUGGCUCGACUGAGGAUCCCUGGACCUUUUAAAGAGGCUCCCGCAUUCCUGGCCAAUGGGCAGGAAGCGGGGGGGGGGGAGUGCGGGGGGAGUGAGGGGGCGGGGGGGGGCACACGGAACGGGAGGGGGGAGGGGACGGGGGACGGGUUCCUCUCUCCGCCCCCUGCUGCCUGGCGCGAAGCUCGCCGGCUGAAAGUGAAGGGGAAGACUCCGAUCCCGCACAGGAGCCCUGGAACUUCUCAGAAAAAUAGGUCUCCGCCCACACAGCCUUGGCGUACUCAGCCCUUAGGAUCUUGCGCCACGCGAGCUGGAGACCUUCCGCCUGAGGGACCCCAGACAAGAUGCUCCUUUGGGGACCAACUAAGACCCUUUAGGGUAUCUUUCACUAAAGCCCGUCUCCUUGCAUACUUCGAUGAUGGAGACGCUUGGGGAUCGAGACAGUCUGGUUUAAAAAUAAAAGGGCAAAAGGUCGGACUUCUUAAAAGAAGCUGCCUCCUGGGUCUAUGCUGGUGGGUGGGGGAUCCCUUGUCAUCUAUACUUCGCGCUCCACUCCUGCCCCGCACGAUAGCCUUCCUUCUGACUCACUAAGGGUGGCAGUGCGGUGUUGCGCUGGAUCAGCAGGACGGUGCACCGAGGUCGCCUUCCCAUUCUCCCAACUCCAGAGUUCUUCCCCAGUUCUUCUGUGCUUCCCCAGAUGGCCGCUUGGGGGCGGUAUAUGUAUUCUGAUUUAGGGGAUCCUUGCGAAGUUUUUUAGCCGCGUUUUAAGAAAGCAAAUUUGUAUCUAGCACCCUCAAGGCAAACUGAAAUUAUGUUUUGAAAAACAGUUUUGUGACCACUCGUGUUUCUUAACGUGACUCCAGAUUGGAGAAUUUGCUGAACCACCUGGCUCCAGGAUCUUACACUAUUUACAGAACGGACCCAUAGAGUAAUAAAUUGCUCUCUGCCUAUUAUUUUA